UACUGGUGAGGCAAGCGUUGCUCGGAAUUAUUGGGCGUAAAGCGCACGUAGGCGGUUUGUUAAGUCGGAUGUGAAAUCCCUCGGCUCAACUGAGGAAGUGCAUCCGAAACUGGCAAGCUUGAGUACGAAAGAGGGUCGCGGAAUUCCCGGUGUAGAGGUGAAAUUCGUAGAUAUCGGGAGGAGCACCGGUGGCGAAGGCGGCGAGCCUGGGUCGAUACUGACGCUGAGGUGCGAAAGCGUGGGGAGCAAACAGG
rnacentral:rRNA from 1 species